AAUGAACGCUGGCGGCAGGCCUAACACAUGCAAGUCGAACGGGCACUUCGGUGCUAGUGGCGGACGGGUGAGUAACGCGUGGGAACGUGCCCCUUGGUACGGAAUAGCCCCGGGAAACUGGGAGUAAUACCGUAUGUGGUCGAGAGACGAAAGAUUUAUCGCCAAGGGAUCGGCCCGCGUUGGAUUAGGUAGUUGGUGGGGUAAUGGCCUACCAAGCCGACGAUCCAUAGCUGGUUUGAGAGGAUGAUCAGCCACACUGGGACUGAGACACGGCCCAGACUCCUACGGGAGGCAGCAGUGGGGAAUCUUAGACAAUGGGGGAAACCCUGAUCUAGCCAUGCCGCGUGAUCGAUGAAGGCCUUAGGGUUGUAAAGAUCUUUCAGGUGGGAAGAUAAUGACUGUACCACCAGAAGAAGCCCCGGCUAACUCCGUGCCAGCAGCCGCAGUAA
rnacentral:rRNA from 1 species